AUUUGAUGUUGUAACCUGCUGUCGAAUACACGACCACCAUUAUGAAUCCAGCAGAUCAUCUUGUUCGCCUCCGUCAAGCUGAUUCACCAUUCACUGUGGGUGUCGUGGAGGA